AAAGAAACCAACAGGGAUUGCCUUAGUAACGGCGAGUGAAGCGGCAAUAGCUCAAAUUUGAAAUCUGGCGCUUGCGUCCGAGUUGUAAUUUGUAGAGGAUGAUUUUAGUUAGGUACCUUUCGAGUUCCUUGGAACAGGACGCCUUAGAGGGUGAGAGCCCCGUACGAUUGGAUGCCGAGCUUCUGUAAAUCUCCUUCGACGAGUCGAGUAGUUUGGGAAUGCUGCUCUAAAUGGGAGGUAAAUUUCUUCUAAAGCUAAAUACCGGCCAGAGACCGAUAGCGCACAAGUAGAGUGAUCGAAAGAUGAAAAGCACUUUGAAAAGAGGGUUAAAUAGCACGUGAAAUUGUUGAAAGGGAAGGAUUUAUGACCAGACUUUUUCUGGGAGAAUCAUCCGGUGUUCUCACCGGUGCACUUCUUUCAGUUUAGGCCAGCAUCGACUUUCGGCGGCGGAUAAAAGCUUUAGGAAUGUGGCUUCCCUCGGGAAGUGUUAUAGCCUACUGUAUAAUACGCUGCUGGGGGUCGAGGUACGCGCUUCUGCAAGGAUGCUGGCGUAAUGGUUAUCAAUCACCGGUCUUGAA
rnacentral:rRNA from 1 species